AAUGUACCCCCUCUGUCCCAUAUUAAGUGACGGAAUAUUACAUGUAUUUAGACGAUUUUUGGAUAUAGAUACAUUCAUAUUUGGACAAAUUUGAGUCACUUAAUAUGGGACCGAGGGAGUAACUG
rfam:Brachypodium distachyon strain Bd21 chromosome 2, whole genome shotgun sequence.